rnacentral:rRNA from 1 species
AGGACGAACGCUGGCGGCGUGCUUAACACAUGCAAGUCGAGCGGAAAGGCCUUUCGGGGUACUCGAGCGGCGAACGGGUGAGUAACACGUGAGUAAUCUGCCCAUCGCUUCAGGAUAGCCAUCGGAAACGGUGAUUAAUACUGGAUAUGACAUUCCUUCGCAUGUUGGGGUGUGGAAAGUUUUUUCGGCGGUGGAUGUGCUCGCGGCCUAUCAGCUUGUUGGUGGGGUAAUGGCCUACCAAGGCUUUGACGGGUAGCCGGCCUGAGAGGGUGACCGGCCACGACUGGGACUGAGACACGGCCCAGACUCCUACGGGAGGCAGCAGUGGGGAAUAGUUGGACAAUGGG